rnacentral:rRNA from 1 species
UGGGGAAUAUUGCACAAUGGGGGGAACCCUGAUGCAGCCAUGCCGCGCGAAUGAAGAAGGCCUUCGGGUUGUAAAGUUCUUUCGGUGACGAGGAAGGUUGGUAGGUUAAUAGCCUAUCAAAUUGACGUUAAUCACAGAAGAAGCACCGGCUAACUCCGUGCCAGCAGCCGCGGUAAUACGGGGGGUGCGAGCGUUAAUCGGAAUAACUGGGCGUAAAGGGCACGCAGGCGGUGACUUAAGUGAGAUGUGAAAGCCCCGAGCUUAACUUGGGAAUUGCAUUUCAUACUGGGUCGCUAGAGUACUUUAGGGAGGGGUAGAAUUCCACGUGUAGCGGUGAAAUGCGUAGAGAUGUGGAGGAAUACCGAAGGCGAAGGCAGCCCCUUGGGAAUGUACUGACGCUCAUGUGCGAAAGCGUGGGGAGCAAACAGGAUUAGAUACCCUGGUAGUCCACGCUGUAAACGAUGUCGAUUUGGGGAUUGGGCUUUGAGCUUGGUGCCCGUAGCUAACGUGAUAAAUCGACCGCCUGGGGAGUACGGCCGCAAGGUUA